AAGAAAUUAGUUAAUUAUCAAUAUUAGCCUGUCACGCUAAAGUAAUCUUUAUAAGAUAUUUCUUA
rnacentral:tRNA from 1 species